GGGGAUUCUGGUGGUAGAGGGAUCACUGGUAAGCCAGGAAAGCCAGGAGUCAGGGGUGCCAAAGGUAAAGAGGGUCCGAACGGCCUUCUGGGAAAUCCUGGCCUGAAGGGAAACAGAGGUCAAGAAGGUUCGAAGGGGAAACGCGGAAGUCCAGGCGUGCAGGGAUUGACAGGGAUACAGGGAUACCGAGGAGCUCCUGGCAUAGCAGGCAAUAUAGGACCAUGGGGUGAGGUGGGCCUCCAAGGGCCACCAGGGGACAAGGGGCCCCCAGGAUUAGUUGGGCCCCGUGGAGUUGUAGGUUACCCAGGUAAAGAUGGACCACAGGGAGGUAUUGGGCCAUUGGCAGACAAUGGGGAUAAGG